UACGUAGGGCGCAAGCGUUGUCCGGAAUUAUUGGGCGUAAAGAGCUCGUAGGCGGUUUGUCGCGUCUGCUGUGAAAACUGGAGGCUCAACCUCCAGCCUGCAGUGGGUACGGGCAGACUAGAGUGCGGUAGGGGAGACUGGAAUUCCUGGUGUAGCGGUGAAAUGCGUAGAUAUCAGGAGGAACACCAAUGGCGAAGGCAGGUCUCUGGGCCGUAACUGACGCUGAGGUGCGAAAGCGUGGGGAGCGAAC
rnacentral:rRNA from 1 species